rnacentral:rRNA from 1 species
AUUGAACGCUGGCGGCAGGCCUAACACAUGCAAGUCGAGCGGAUGAAGGGAGCUUGCUCCUGGAUUCAGCGGCGGACGGGUGAGUAAUGCCUAGGAAUCUGCCUGGUAGUGGGGGAUAACGUCCGGAAACGGGCGCUAAUACCGCAUACGUCCUGAGGGAGAAAGUGGGGGAUCUUCGGACCUCACGCUAUCAGAUGAGCCUAGGUCGGAUUAGCUAGUUGGUGGGGUAAAGGCCUACCAAGGCGACGAUCCGUAACUGGUCUGAGAGGAUGAUCAGUCACACUGGAACUGAGACACGGUCCAGACUCCUACGGGAGGCAGCGGUGGGGAAUAUUGGACAAUGGGCGAAAGCCUGAUCCAGCCAUGCCGCGUGUGUGAAGAAGGUCUUCGGAUUGUAAAGCACUUUAAGUUGGGAGGAAGGGCAGUAAGUUAAUACCUUGCUGUUUUGACGUUACCAACAGAAUAAGCUCCGGCUAACUUCGUG